rnacentral:rRNA from 1 species
GAUGAACGCUAGCGGCAGGCUUAACACAUGCAAGUCGAGGGGUAGAAGGAGCUUGCUCCUUUGAGACCGGCGCACGGGUGCGUAACGCGUAUGCAAUCUACCUUUUGCAGAGGGAUAGCCCAGAGAAAUUUGGAUUAAUACCUCAUAGUAUGUGAGGAUGGCAUCAUUUUCACAUUAAAGUCACAACGGCAAAAGAUGAGCAUGCGUCCCAUUAGCUAGUUGGUAAGGUAACGGCUUACCAAGGCUACGAUGGGUAGGGGUCCUGAGAGGGAGAUCCCCCACACUGGUACUGAGACACGGACCAGACUCCUACGGGAGGCAGCAGUGAGGAAUAUUGGACAAUGGGCGCAAGCCUGAUCCAGCCAUGCCGCGUGCAGGAUGACGGUCCUAUGGAUUGUAAACUGCUUUUGUACAGGAAGAAACACUACUUCGUGAAGUAGCUUGACGGUACUGUAAGAAU